GAUAAUUAGUUUAAACAAAACAAGUGAUUUCGACUCACUAGACUAUGACAGCCCUCAUAAUUAUCU
rnacentral:tRNA from 1 species